rnacentral:rRNA from 1 species
AGUGAACGCUGGCGGUAGGCCUAACACAUGCAAGUCGAACGGCAGCACAGUAAGAGCUUGCUCUUACGGGUGGCGAGUGGCGGACGGGUGAGGAAUACAUCGGAAUCUACUUUUUCGUGGGGGAUAACGUAGGGAAACUUACGCUAAUACCGCAUACGACCUACGGGUGAAAGCAGGGGAUCUUCGGACCUUGCGCGAUUGAAUGAGCCGAUGUCGGAUUAGCUAGUUGGCGGGGUAAAGGCCCACCAAGGCGACGAUCCGUAGCUGGUCUGAGAGGAUGAUCAGCCACACUGGAACUGAGACACGGUCCAGACUCCUACGGGAGGCAGCAGUGGGGAAUAUUGGACAAGGGGCGCAAGCCGGAUCCAGCCAUACCGCGUGGGUGAAGAAGGCCUUCGGGUUGUAAAGCCCUUUUGUUGGGAAAGAAAAGCAGCAGGUUAAUACCCCGCUGUUCUGACGGUACCCAAAGAAUAAGCACCGGCUAACUUCG